GCUUUAAUCGAGAAACCCGUCUUCUUUUUUUUUUCUUUAUACACCUCUCUUCUAAAUCUAGUGCGCGUAGAUCCAAUCGCCACGCCAAUGUAACGCGACAUGGUAACAGGAUGCUCGUCUGCUCUACUAUCGGCGACAUAAUGUAACGAUACAUCGUGAUAAAAGAGCGAUGAGAGAUUCGUGGAGUGAGCCGGAAUUUUUUGGGAUCGAGCCCUUGAUGAAGAGAACCCGCGAACAUCUGCCACGAGGCCACGUGACAAAUGUCACGCAGACGAAAGUGCCGGGAAGAUGGUCCAAGCACGAUCAUCAUCGACGUGAUGUCGAUCCACGCAUUAUUUCGUCAUGAUAGAAGCGGAACGCAACAACCAAUGGGAACGUCGCUUCCGCGGAGGCUCGACCGGCUCGACCCGACUUCCAUCACGUUCGUCGAGAGAUCCCUGUGGCCGGCCGUUUCUUUCAAGGAGAAUCGAGUUGUGGGAAAGUUGUAUGCCCGGCUGUCGGCUGAUAAAGUUGGCCGUUUAUAUCGCCUCGCUGGAAUAUUACGUUAUUGCGCAUAGAGAUAGCCAAGUAUUAAAUUUCAAAGUUUACAGCGCUGUAAAAAACGAAUUUGCACACGAUCGCUCGAUCUGAUCGUUCAAUGAUAUUUAUAUAUUUAUAAUUGCAUAAAUGAUUUAUCAAUGCGCGAUUAUUAUACACUUGACUUUCAAGUAGAUUCCAAAACGGGAAACGCUAUAUAUUGUCUUAUUGUAUUAAAAAAAUUCCAAUUUUCUCAAGUAGAUAUGUUUCCAUACAUG